ACGAACGCUGGCGGCGUGCUUCACACCUGCAAGUCGCACGGAAAGGCCCUGCUUUUGUGGGGUGCUCGAGUGGCGAACGGGUGAGUAACACGUGAGUAACCUGCCCUUGACUUUGGGAUAACUUCAGGAAACUGGGGCUAAUACCGGAUAGGAGCUCCUGCUGCAUGGUGGGGGUUGGAAAGUUUCGGCGGUUGGGGAUGGACUCGCGGCUUAUCAGCUUGUUGGUGGGGUAGUGGCUUACCAAGGCUUUGACGGGUAGCCGGCCUGAGAGGGUGACCGGCCACAUUGGGACUGAGAUACGGCCCAGACUCCUACGGGAGGCAGCAGUGGGGAAUAUUGCACAAUGGGCGGAAGCCUGAUGCAGCAACGCCGCGUGCGGGAUGACGGCCUUCGGGUUGUAAACCGCUUUCGCCUGUGACGAAGCGUGAGUGACGGUAAUGGGUAAAGAAGCACCGGCUAACUACGUG
rnacentral:rRNA from 1 species